UACUUUGCUGCAGAUACUAAAUCUUUCAGGUGUGGUUGAAUUGAAAACUCAACUGCUAAUACUUGAGAAUAUUCUUUGGCUUCCCCUUGAGUCGAAUCAAUAAAUUUGGAUUGAAUACUCUAGCCUCGAAAACUGUUGCGAUCCCCUAUACUUGUGGGUUAUCAAGACUAUUUUCUGGCGCCGUUGCCGGGGAAGCCAAAGUCAAGAAU
rnacentral:lncRNA from 1 species